rnacentral:rRNA from 1 species
UACGUAGGUCGCAAGCGUUGUCCGGAUUUACUGGGCGUAAAGAGCGCGCAGGCGGUCGGAUAAGUCGAAUGUGAAAGCCCCCGGCUCAACUGGGGAGGGUCAUUCGAUACUGUUCGACUCGAAGGCAGGAGAGGGAAGUGGAAUUCCCGGUGUAGUGGUGAAAUGCGUAGAUAUGUGGAGGAACACCUGUGGCGAAGGCGCCUUGCUGGCCAAUUUCUGACGCUGAGGCGCGAAAGCGUGGGGAGCAAACAGG